UUGGAUUAUAAAUAGAUAUUA
ensembl:piRNA 21ur-14199 ncRNA